rnacentral:lncRNA from 1 species
AGUAUUUCUUUGGCUAUUUUCCUACAUUUGUAGUUGGCUCUUCAUAGCUUUUGGCUUAUUUUCCUAAGUUGAUAACCUUAGAAGGUUGGUUAAUCUGGUCAAGGUGUUUUGGUCUUGCUUGUUAGGCUUUUAGCAUGUUGUGUUUUGGUUUUUAGUAUGUUGAUGGUUCUUAUUGUAUUUUCUUAGCUCCUGUUUUCCUUUGUGGAGCUUUGGUUUUUGUUUUCC